UCGAGAAUCUUCGGCAAUGGGCGCAAGCCUGACCGAGCGACGCCGCGUGUGCGAUGAAGGCCUUCGGGUUGUAAAGCACUGUCGAGGGGGAGAAACGCCCGCAAGGGUCUGAUCUAUCCCUGGAGGAAGCACGGGCUAAGUUCGUGCCAGCAGCCGCGGUAAGACGAACCGUGCGAACGUUGUUCGGAUUCACUGGGCUUAAAGGGCGCGUAGGCGGACGGUCAAGUCGGGGGUGAAAUCUUCCAGCUCAACUGGAAACGUGCCUUCGAUACUGGCCGUCUCGAGGGAGGUAGGGGCAUGCGGAACUUCCGGUGGAGCGGUGAAAUGCGUAGAUAUCGGAAGGAACGCCGGUGGCGAAAGCGGCGUGCUGGACCUCUUCUGACGCUGAGGCGCGAAAGCUAGGGUAGCGAACG
rnacentral:rRNA from 1 species